AUCCUUUUGUGGUUCAGGAGUGCGAUGAUUGGUUUUUCACACAUAUAUGUGAGAUGUGCCUCCCUCAAACCUUGUUAGGAGUAGAAGGUAGGCGCAUUACCUAUCUGACA
rnacentral:snoRNA from 1 species